GGGCGCGGACUGACGGCUGCCGCCUGUCGGCGCCCCGGCCCUGCAGCCGAGCCGGAGGGGCGGACCGGCGGGUGUCGGGAGCAGGCAGCAGCGGCCAGGCCUCUGCGGCUUCUCUCCCGCUGGAGAGGGAAGAGCCGCGGCCGCGAGGAUUCCCAGCAGCGGCCGCGUGUCGAGAGCCUGCAAGUGGCCCCGAAGCCGUCCCUUUCCCGAUAGCCAAGCAGAAGUAGGACUCGAAGCACCGGGGCUGGGAUGCCCAUGCUGGUGACGCCUUGGGACUCGCAGUUAUACUUGGCGACCGGUCUACACGGCGAUUCGGUAUUUUCCGGAAUAGCAGAUUCACCUAUCUUUAGACCCACCUUGGUCCUUUGGGGUGUAGCCCGGCCUGCGCUUUCCUGCGAGCCCUGCUGUCACCUAAACAGCCUGGUGACUUCACGCUCAGCCACUGGAGGGCACAGCCACAUCAUUUUUUAAAAAUUCGUUUCCCCACUUAAAGCUGACAUGGUUUGGGGGGAAAUAACAUUUUAAAAAUGUAAAAAGAUAUAUAUACGUAUCUCUGAUUAUUCUGAUAUAAACUCAGGUGGGAUACUUCUAAACAGGAGGCUGCUGCAGUCCCUUCAUUUUACAGCUGAGAAAACGAAGGCCUUGGAGCUUGAGAACUCCAGUUGCCUGAGGCGCACAGGUGGUGGGUAAGGACGCUGAUCAUUUCCCCAAAGAAUCCUUCCCUGACCCAGGAGGAUCCGGUGGGAGAGCGGGGCCGUCCACAGCUCAACCAGGACACAAGAAGGCCCAGGGUGGCAGGAGCCCCACUGUGUGCUGUGGAGGAUGGCAGAGGAAAAGUCAGCAUUGUCCCUAAACUGCAGGAUCAUGUGAUGUGAUGGGAAAAAAUUUUGAAUUUUUUGAAGCGCAGGUCACGGAAGCACAUGGUGCCCAGAAGGGCUUAACUAGUUGCAGCUGUGCAGGGCGAUGCGCAGAGUGCCCCAAGGGUGUCCUGAGUGAGGGUGGACGUCCGCUGCCCUCUGGCUUCGUGAAGGCUCCGUGAAGCCUGCCGGGUCACCCUUGUUUUCAUGGAUAGCUUCUUCAGGACACUCCCUCCACCAGUAAUUGAUAAAGUGCUUCCGUUGAGUGUCUGAUAAAGGAUUCAGUUUACAUGAUUGUUAAGACAGGAUCAUGAAAGAAGACAGAAGACGGAUGUGAGUGGCUCUCAGAAAAAAAGUAUCAAGGCAAACUGAGGAGUCUGUGUUCCGAGUUAUAACAUCAGCCCUGUGUUGAAAGCAUAUUGACUUUCCUGACUUCUUAUGACCACAUUUGAGGAAAGGAGUAAGCACUGGAAUCACCAAAACAGCACGCUUACAGGAGGGCGGUCACCAGCUUCAUCAGCCUCCCAAUUCCACGGAGCCCCUUGAAAAUCCAGGGGCGCAGACUGGCAACAGUAGAGAUUGAAUAGAUACAGGGUCUCGCUCUGUUGCCCAGGCUGGAGUAUAGCAGGGCAAUUAUAGCUCACUGCAACCUCAAACUGUAAUUGUGCUAUCUCGGCUCACUGCAAUCUCUGCCUGUCAAUUUCUGCAAAAAAAAUCAGUAGAGAUUUUGAUAGUGAUUGCAUUGAAACUGUACACCAACUGGCAAAUCUAUAGAACCAGCAGAGAAAUUACAAAUUGCCUGUGGCUGGGACUGAAGAGUGAAAUCACUGCAAGUGGCCAAGAGGGAUCUUCUGAAGUGAUAGGUAUGCUCUAAAAUUAGGCUGUGGGGAUGCUUGUACAACUCUGUAACUUUACUAAAAUUCAUUACACACUUAAAUAAGUGAGUUUUAUGAUAUGUACAUUAUCCAUCAAAAAAGCUGUGUUAAAAAAAAAAAAAAAAGGGCUGAAUAUUUUAGGCCAGGCAUGGGGGCUCACACCUGUAAUCCCAGCACUUUGGGAGGCCAAGGCAGGCAGAUAAGGAGGUCAGGAGAUCAAGACGAUCCUGGCUAACACGGUGAAACCCCAUCUCUACUAAAAGUACAAAAAAUUAGCUGGGUGUGGUGGUGGUGCCUGUAGUCCCAGCUACUCGGGAGGCUAAGGCAGGAGAAUGGUGUGAACCUGGGAGGCGGAGCUUGCAGUGGUGACCCCAGAUCGCACCACUGCUCUCCAGCCUGGGCGACAGAGUGAGACUCCAUCUCAAAAAAAAAAAAAAAAAAAAAAGAAAAAAAUUAUUCUAAUUUGCCUGUGUGAGUGGAUGUGUUUGGCUAAAUUUUUGAUAAGAGUUUCUUUGCCACUAUGUUCACAACAUGUGUUGGUGAACAGUUUUCUUGGCUCAUCAUGUCUUCUGGAUUUGGUGUCUGGGUAAUACUUUAAUCAUAAAAUGAGUUGAGAAGUGUUCACUACUCCUCUAUUUUCUGUAAGAUCAAUGGGAAAAUUUGUGUAGAAUGUACCAGUCCAAAACUAUGUGAGUCUAGAAUUUUGUUUAUCAAGAGAGAUUAAAUCACAGUGUAAAAUAUUUAAUAGGCUGGGCACAGUGGCUUAUGCCUGUAAUCCAAGCACUUUGGGAGGCCAAGGUGGGCAAAUCACGAGGUCAGGAGAUUGAGACCAUCCUGGCUAACACGGUGAAAUCCCGCCUCUACUAAAAGUACAAAAAAAAAAAAAAAAAAAA
ensembl:lncRNA